AUGACUCCACCGGGACAGGGAAUUACCCCGCCAGGUCCGGGAAUGGAUCCCCCUAGAAGCCAUGUAAAGAAAAAGGACAAGUGUGGGGCCCCGCUGCUUCCCGCAGGCGUCCAUCCCUCAGAGAGGUACCAGAGGACUCCACACAUAAAACGUGAUGGAAACUGCACACCGUUACCUCCCUCGCUAGAACCGGGGAUGCAUGAAGCCGAUUCCGUUGCAGACGAACCCCCAAGGGAGCCCCCCCUGCACACACUCCCCAGAGCACAACUCGCGAACGCAGAGGCGGAAAUCCUGCGGCUCCCUUCGCACGGCUCGCACCCCCGUCUCUGGCCCGGACUCGAACGACCAACGAGGUCCCAACAUGAAGCUCAUCAAGGCGAUCCCCAUAGAGAACACGUACUGAUCACCCAGAAUGAGCCUGAUUCCUUGUGCAGUGGCAUUCUUCGAGUUGAAAAUGAAGUAUUUGCUGACGUUCUGCUCAGUUGGGUCAGUCCCCUCCAACACGGCCACAUGUCCGACUUCAGCGGCCUCAGCGGUCCUUCCAGACAGAACUUCACAUGGUUGUGUAGGUCCAGCCAGGAUGGCGUGUCCUCCGCGCUCCUUGUGACUCUGUGAGUUUGUUACCAGUUACAACACACAUCCAUUUCUCUGGACACACACCCUGGCAUGUGCGUGCCAUGCGGUGACUUAAAUGUGUAAGCGUGCCGACAGGUGAGGGCCCCCGGGGGGUGCUUGUGUGUUGGGGUGGGGGUCAGGCCCCCUCAUUCACCGACGGGGACUUGGGACUAUUCUUUCCCCUUCUCAGCCUGGGUUUUGUCAUCUACAGAAAGGGGUUAAUGAGACAGCCUCUCCCACGGUCACCGUGAAUGGCAUUUUUGUCGUGGGUGUUCGCCGAGCGGGGCUGCGGGAAGCUCUGGAUAGACUUUGGCUGUUGGUGUCGGCACGGGAAACGCGAGCCCCUUGCCCUCCCCUGAACACAGCAUUCUGGCAUUUCUUAUUCACUGUGCCCACAGGGCGCCUUGCCAGCCUCUUCAUAAAGCUGCUACUCAGAGGCAGAGUGCGUCCUCCUGGUCGGUGUCACGUCUCCAGAGCGAGGCUUCGUCUCAUCAGGAAAUGCGAACUCACCCAUCCCGCUGCCAGGGGACAGUUAGCCAAGCAGAUGCGGGAGGCAUUCAGUUCUGGGCUCGAAUUCCAUCCCCCACUCCCUGGGGUCUGUGGGGCUGGUUACCUCCCAACCUGGUUUCUUCCUUCAUCGUCGUCAGAUGAAAGUGACUGAGCGAGUGGUCCUGGGCUCGCCUCCCGAGGAGGUAAGCUGGGGCGGGCGGGGGUGUAGGAGUCUCUGAUGCAGACCCCAGGGGCCCAGGCUUUGCCCGGUAAACCAGUGGACGUCACAUCAAACUUCAACAGGCAGUGAGAUCUGAGGAAACUGUCUUUUCAUCUUUAAAAAAGAAAUCUGGGGAAAUGCGGGACGUAGCCAAGCAGCGUCUCUUGAGGUGAACUCGUCAAGUGUUCCCGUGUUGCUUCUUGAUCUGGAGUGUUCCUGUGAGGCCUCGAGGGCCCUACAUGAGAUUGUGUAAGGCAGCUGGCUCAUUGCAGGCAUCCGGUGGGGUCGGCCCCCCGGGGACCCUUCACAGACAUGCCUCCCACUUCAGUAAGAGCUCAAGAAGAACUCGAGCCUGGUUCCUAGCCGGCGGGACGGUGACGGGGGUCCAGGUCCCCCACGCACACACAGCUGGGCACACCUGUGCGGCCUUGUGAUUUCUGCACACACUUUGUGCUUAACCAGCAUGAAAUGUGAAGCUGGGAAACCGGGACGAGGUUGUGCAGUAAAUUCACAUGCCCCUGAUGGACGGCAGGCGUGUGCUUGUCGGGGACCCGGUUUUCAGGGUUAGGGCUCAGCGGGACUGCUGCCUGGGGGCCCGGAAGGGCUGGGUCCAGGGUGGGGCCUCCUGUUACCGGGCCCCGGAGGAGCACGGUUUCUGCUCAACCAAGUGUCAUCACGUCAUCCGAAGUCUAGGGUAGAGAUUCAGCCUGACAGCGUGAGGCCAGGCGUUCUCAGAGGGCGUGUGCAGAAACGACUCCCCUUAGAAUCGCCUUCCACCUUAAGAUGGAAAACUCUUGGUACGGUCUGCGGCCAGACAGACUUGCACAGUUAAAUCUGUAACAUUUUGUAACUAUUGCUUCUCUUUUCGUCGGUCCCUCAAGCUGUACGUAACAGGCUCCUUAUGCUUCUGCUUAAACCUUUUCCUCAGAAUCCUUUUAUUUACUUAUGUUUUUAGCUCAGUAGUAAGGAUGCUUUCUAACAACAGGAGAUGCAGAAAUAAUAAAAUCUGUAGACAUGUUAUUGUUGAUGACAUUGGUUGAUGUUGCAAAUUCUUGCUUGAUUGUUCCCCAAACGGUUUCCCCUCACGGGACAGGCUGCACCAGGCUCCCUGGGGACCUGCUGGCCUCACCCACAGGCUCUGGGGACAUCGCCCUGAUGGCUUUUCCACCAAGGUCCGAGGUGGCUUGCCUGUGGGGAGAGGCACGGCAGGGGAGGUGACGAUGGGUGGCAGCCUUGGGAAGCCUGGGUCAGGACAGUCUGGUCGUGGUCAGGGGCCAGCGUGCGAGGAGCACAUGGGGGGGCCCUGGAGUCCAUCCUGUCAUGGUUCAGCCAGAGGUCGACCAGAGCUGGCCCUGCCAGUGACCCCUUCUCUGGUUCCACGAGUUAGCCCGACACCUCCCACCAGGGGCUGCGCGGUGGGGCCCCAACCCUGGCUUGUCCCACUUGUCUCUCCAGUGUGCGAUCUGAGCGGGCU
rnacentral:lncRNA from 1 species